UGUUUCUUUUUUCUUUCAGGUUUUGUUAUGAUAUAAAUCACAGAAACCUGCGAUUUGCCUGAGGGUUUUUGCUUCUUCAGUUUUUGACUAUUAUUUGCACGAUCAUUGCGGAGACUAUCGAGUGGAGUGGAUCGGCUGGGACAAUUUGCACAAAUUCUAAUUUAUUGUCAAGCAUUUCCACCGACGAUAAGACAUAAAUACGCUCUGCUGAGCUGGUCAGCUUUAUCGUGCACCUGUAAGAGGAAAGAAAAUAAAAAAAAGAGUUUAAAAUAAAAAUAAACACAAACCAACACGAGCACAGGUACAGAUACAGACAUUUCUUAUAAGGGAUAUUUGCCUUAAAUGCAAUCGACUGAUGAACGGGAACGGAUGACGGAAAGAUCGAUCGAGCCAGAACAAAAGAGACGAGACGGGCACGGCACGGCACGCUGACGAUAUGUGGAUUCAGUUGUAAAGACGUCGAAAUGUCUGCUACGCUGCCUCAUAUUUACCUCCACUCACAGAGGCUCGUAUGCUCGUACACCGUGUGUAUAUCCACCGUUUACAGAUACCUUUCAUGAAGCCAAAACAAGUGGUAUGAAAAAAAACGAUGACAACGAUGAAACGAUCUACUACUCAAAAUGACGUGAGGAAGAGGAGCAGCAGUGAGAUCAUUUAUUAUAUUCGGGGAAAAGUAUGUGUGAAGGGUGUCCGCAAAAGGUAGGUUAGGUACAGAGGUAGGUACAGAGGGGGUUUCAUAGUGAUAAUGAUAAACUAGGUCAGAAAGUACAUACAUACAUAUGUACAAUGUAUCUCCCCUUUUGUCUUGCUAGCUAAUUUGGCGAAAAAAACGACCUGAUACUCAUAGAUAGGAUAGCAGUUGUAAGAAUCUUACUUACAAUUUCCAAAUUCAGUUGAGAAUCCAUUAUGUUGCUCGAUUAGGUACAGACUGUGCAUUACUUAUGGCAAUGAAUUACUUCUGGUAAUAUGGUUAGGCUAAUUGAACAUAUUCAUAUAUUUUUAGAUGCCUUGCCAUAUGUACAUACGUAUUUCUUUUUUGCAUAUUACUGUAUUAUUUUGCACAGAAAGGCAGCUAAUUAUAGUACAUAUGUACAUACAUAUGUAUGUACAUAUAUUAUUAAGCAAGAGAGUUCGAGUUGUACACAAUACCAAAAGCUGGGUAAGAUAAGACCCCCAGGAAUGUUAGGGAGCGACUCAUUCUUCCACCGUGAUAGGCAGUUCCUUGUGUCCUGUCCUCGAAUCCUUAUCGGGCAAGAUUCCCCAGAAAUAUCAAAGAGCAUACAGUUGUAGCCUGAGAAAGCAUUUAAAGCUCGGGUGGAGAGCGUUCAACUUUCUUGAGCAGUAAUUUUUUAUACGGGGUUUACUAUUACGAAAGCACGGCAAGAAAUAUUUUCAGGGAUUUCUGUACUUGUGAUAAGAGGAAUCACCCGCAAUAACAAAAAUUCAUUCAUAGGGGAAGUUGUUAAAUUAUCAAGCCAAAAGGCAUGACAGCAAAGGAAUCUAAUCAAAAGUUGAUGGCAUAAUGCUAAAUUAUAUUUUAAAGAAAAUUUCAAGUGCAGAUUAAAUACUGCCAGAGAUAAAUAAGAAACGAGCCACUAACGAGAGUGUCCAAACCAAGAGACGCCGCCCCACAUUCUACUUUUCGCUCAAAGGCAGCUUGUACCUUGCAUCUUUACAUUUCCAGGGAACUCUCUGCUGCUCACACACCCAUCCACGAAUAGACAUUAUAAUGUGAUUCACAAAUCAAAUAAUAAAUACAUAUCAAAAUACAUACACACUAAGCAUGUACAAUGUACAUAUAAUAAAAAGAAGCAAAAUGAAGAAAAGUAAACGAGAAAACGUCAGUGGCGAAAAAUGUUUGUAC